AUUGAACGCUGGCGGCAUGCUUAUCACAUGCAAGUCGAACGGCAGCACGGGUGCUUGCACCUGGUGGCGAGUGGCGAACGGGUGAGUAAUAUAUCGGAACGUACCUUAUUGUGGGGGAUAACGCAGCGAAAGCUGUGCUAACACCGCAUAAUCCCUAAGGGGGAAAGCGGGGGACCGUAAGGCCUCGCGCAAUUAGAGCGGCCGAUACCUGAUUAGCUAGUUGGUGAGGUAAAGGCGCACCAAGGCAACGAUCAGUAGCUGGUCUGAGAGGACAGUCAGCCACACUGGGACUGAGACACGGCCCAGACUCCUACGGGAGGCAGCAGUGGGGAAUUUUGGACAAUGGGGGCAACCCUGAUCCAGCAAUGCCGCGUGAGUGAAGAAGGCCUUCGGGUUGUAAAGCUCUUUUGUCAGGGAAGAAACAGCAGCUCUAACACAGUAUGCGAAUGACGGUACCUGAAGAAUAAGCACCGGCUAACUACGUGCCAGCCGCCGCGGUAA
rnacentral:rRNA from 1 species